rnacentral:lncRNA from 1 species
CCACUUUUUCGCACGGCCCUCGCCCACCUCCGUCACAUACAUAUUCCGUGGAGCAGCCAGCGUUUGCGCGCACCUUCGUUUUCAACACGACGGAUCUUCGCCCGGACAAAACAGACGUUGCACCACCGCUACGGCCGUCGUGGACGCUACUGCUGCUGCUCCCGUUGCCGCUAGUCCACUACUGACUGCCCGUACCCGUACCCGUACUCGUAGUACCUGUCGUUCCAACGCGCACGACUGCGAUCGGGGGAUCGCUCGGGCUCGACUGCCGCACGACUGAACCACUUCGGCCAUCUUCGGUACGCCUCGGCGAUUUGCGCUCACUUUCUGCGCAGGGGCGGCGAUAUCGUGGGCGCAUCAAGCGCCCCGUCCCCGUUUCCUCUUGGAUGACUCAUGUGCCACACUCUGACGUAUACGCGCUCCAACUCCAACCGCCACCGUCGCUUUAAGAAACCAUCGAGGCCUCUUUAUCGCGUGAAUCUGCAGGACAUAUGGAUACGUUGCUACGUGAAAAUGUUGCAAUUUUAUUCGAUCAAAAAGAGACGUGUAUAAUCUUCGUCCAAUUAAAUCUUCUGGAACCGA